AUCCUACGGGGCGCAGCAGUGAGGAAUAUUGGUCAAUGGGCGGGAGCCUGAACCAGCCAAGUCGCGUGAGGGAAGACGGUCCUAUGGAUUGUAAACCCCUUUAGGCGGGGAGUAAUGCCGGGCACGCGUGUCCGGAGGGAGAGUACCCGCAGAAUAAGCAUCGGCUAACUCCGUGCCAGCAGCCGCGGUAAUACGGAGGAUGCGAGCGUUAUCCGGAUUUAUUGGGUUUAAAGGGUGCGUAGGCGGAUUUUUAAGUCAGCGGUAAAAUGUCCGGGUUCAACACGGGCGGGCAGUUGACACUGGGG
rnacentral:rRNA from 1 species